rnacentral:lncRNA from 1 species
UUUUCAGAGUGUUUUUGGUAUGAAAGGAUGUUGAAUGCUGUUAGUGGAUUUUCUGCAUGUAUUGAAUUCUAUUAAUGAGAAUUGGAUAAUUGGAAUCAUGCAGAAUGUAGCCUUUUUGGAGUGGCUUCUUUCACCUACCAAUAUGCAGAUUCAACAGAGUUGGAUUGCUGAGAAUAAAAUUACGGAUUUCUCCAUAAUGGACACACGCACUUUUUGUUUGUGCUGUUUCCUUUAGAAUGGACGAUGAGUCAAAAUUGUUCGUUUAUGCUUCUUCACAGAAGGAUCUUCUGUGUCGUAGGAGGUGGCCUGCAGCAAUCUGGACAUUCAGUGGUCCUCCUGUGAUUAAUAGGUGAACGGAUGAGCUAUUCUGAUAAGAACUGGGGAACUUUUGCCAUUCAAAAGCAAAUAGAAGAACUGGGAGAUUCCUCAACUUAGCUUUUCUUUUUUUUGGUUCUAAAGUGACUGCGAAUGGAGGUAGAAGAGAAGAAAAGCUUUCAAAAACAUCUUCCAUUAAGAAAAAUAUGUAUCUUCAUGAAGACCUAUCUGAGUAAAAUUACUAAAACAUAAUGGCUUUCUUGAAAUAGAAUGGAAUGAAAGGCAUAUUAGGGAGUAUGAAAGUAUGAAGAUUUUAUUAACAUACUUCUAGAAGUUUAUUAAAUAUCUGCACAGGAACUGUAAUUUGAGAUCAGUGGUGGAAAGAGAAUAAAGGAAUCACGUGGACAUCAGCUCUGAGGCCUGUGGCCCCACUUGCUUCUGGGCUUUCUAUAGACAUUUGCUGGUGACCUGCCCAGGCAGGCUAGAGUACCCUUCCUCAUUGCACCCUGUGUUCCCAUCCUCUUUUCCUUCCUUCCUUCCUUCCUUCCUUCCUUCCUUCCUUUCUUCCUCCAUCCCUUAUGAAACCCUCGUUGUGCAGUUACUUAUUAGGUGCUGUGUGAGCGUCUGAAGUCUCCCCUCACCCACUUUUCCAUUUGGGCCACUUGGCCAGUGAUUGCAUCAGUACCAGGGUUCUAGGAGCCAUGCAGGGAUCCCCAGUGGGCAGAGCUGGCCGUAGCAUUUGGAAAGGAAGAGAGAGAACUGGAGACAAUGCCUAGGAACAAAAGCAGAGUCCAGACCCAGGCAUCAAGUGCAAAUCCAAAGGCUCUGGAUGAGUCAGUUCCCAGCAAAGGGACACAAGUAGGCACAGAAGGAAGGACAGCAGAAAACACUGGUCCAGAGAGGGCCUGCAGAGCCAGAAGCGAUGACGCAUCCAAGGUUGUGUUUGACUUCUGCACUGCCUCUGCAACCUGUAAGCACAUCUGAGCCAGUUCAGAAAGUAGGAAAACCAAAGUAUAUCAGAAAUGGCCUCUUAUCAUCAAGGAGAUUUUGGUCUAGAUUGCUUAUUGCUCAGGAGAAAUCACCACUUUUUAAAAAGAUAUGCUGAGAUAGGGUUUAGUUGGGAUAGAAAAGGUUAUUAAACUACGGGACACCCUUCCUUUACAGAGUGUAAGCACUACUACCCCUUUUGUUUGUCUGUUUUUCUUAUUUUUCUCACAGAUGCAGUUCCUGCAUUAGUAUUGAUAAAUGUGUGGCUGCUCCACUUGGAGUGUUUUCAAAGCAUAAAUCACAGCAUUGAUGGUGCUGUGGUUUGGCUCUUCCAGCCCUCUUAACAACGGUCUGAUGGACUUGGCGAGAGUCUAGCCACGUGUUCUGGCCUCUGUCACUCUCAUGGCUGAAACGCAUGCACACCCACAGAUGGGGGCCCCGUGGUAGAGAUGUGCCUCUACUUGUCAAAUAGACUGACUCCAAAUUCGGAAAUAUGCCUCAGGAAUCUAGAAAGAUAGAAAAGGAGUCUUCGUCACUGUAGGGUCUCAUUCACAAUAUGGAGGAGAGAUGGAGGGGAGUUUUUGGUAUAAAUUUUGCCUCAUAAAAAUUCUCCACGUUGUUUUGUACUGUAUGAGGGUAGCGAGAAAUUAGUUGAUGGUUAACAAUCAAGCUGGAGAAGAAUAUCCUCAAUUUUUCACAUGGAAAAUGAAAAACUACAACUCCUUCCAAAUAUAUGUAUGUUUCUUUUCUGAAGAUAGACGUGUGUGUGUUUGUGUGUAUCAUAUAACAUUUAUUUUUUGAUUUCUUUGUUAUCAACAGUAAAAAUACAGAAAAUGAUGCCAAAGAGAAUUUCUGAUUUUUCUUUCCUUGUUUUCCAUUAAAGUG